rnacentral:lncRNA from 1 species
UUGACUUAAACUUUCAAAAAAGCCAAAAAGAACUAACUCAUCCAAACCAUUUUCAGGCCUUUGUGCCUUUCAAACUUAAUUUUGUUAAAAACAACACACUCAUUUUGAAAUUUAUAGCACGAACUACGAGGUUUUGAUCCCUCAUUUAUAUGUUGGUACGUAGGCACAACCCAUCUUGGCCUAUUUAGGACCUUAGAAC